GGUGGUCUAAGAAGGCCCAGGAAGGCAAAAGCCGACAAAAGAGGACUAACGACUGGUUGUUAGGGUCUGGCUAACCGGUCUAGAGCAGGUAGAAUAUGCCUUCAUGGUAGCGGCACUUGCAAGCGUCGUAGUCGUCGAGUGUCUUCCUCUAUCACUAUGACAUAGGCUUCCAAGAUAGACAGGAUAGGAGUUAGAGCCAAGAUUCGACUAUGAACUCCAUCAAAUUGAGGGUUAAGUCCUCCAAGAAAAUUAUAGACUCGAUCGAUUUCAAUUUCUUUCUAGCGUUGAGCUACAUCACUUGGAUUGGUAAGUUCAUUGGGGUGCAGACAAUCAAUCUUUUGCGAAAUAACAUAUAAUUUUUCGUAAAAUACAUUCAUAGGCUCAUCAUUCUGACAUCUCACAGAUUGUCGUCAGAAUUGAAAGAAAUUAGAAGUAUUUUGAGUAGCAACAUAGGUUUUCUAGGUAGCAUCCCAAAGAGCAGUAUCACACUGCUCAAACAAGGUGCACACCUUCUUGGUCAUGGAAUCGAGAAGUCAUGACUGUAUCAAACAAUUGUCUUCUUCCCAUUCAACAUAUUCAUUAAAGUCUUCAUUUGGAGCUUCUUCCCAUUGAUAAAUCCAGCCAUACGAUGACCAGUAAUCAUAAGGAGUGCACUACGUGACCAAGAGGCAUAAUUGGAUCCAUCCAAUUUUUUAGGGGUAAUAGGGACAAAAUAGUCAUGAUAGAGGGUCGAUCCUCCUUGGUACUAGAAGCACCAGCAACAUCACUACCUUUUGAAUCAUCACCCAUGAUUGCAGCGGAAAACACAAAAAAAAUAAAAAAUAAAAAAUCCUAAAAGGAAAAUUAGGGCACACAACACAAGCGGAGAGGGGGAACGACAAGGUGUGGAAAAACCCUAAAACAAAAAUAAGGUUUGGCAUAGGUUAUUGAACAGGUGGGCAUGACACACAAGGUCAUCAUAAAAGUGCUGCUCUGAUACCAUGUUAAACAAUAUGUGGGAAUUUUUAGAUGAUUAUUACUCUCCACUUUAGAGGCAAUAUAUAUAGUUUACAAGAGUGCUUUACUUGUAUCUAAGUAUAUAAGGAAUCCUAAUUACAUCGUGACUAAAACAAAUAAAGAUAAUUCCUAAAAUUAAGUCUUACAACUUGGAACAAAGUGGAACAUAUACUAUAAUCCAAGAGGCAUGAGAUAAUUAAGUUUAAGUCUCAAUGCAUCUGAAAUGGGCUCUUUAAACCAUCUGUUUAGACAAAUUUUAGAGAGAAAUUGGAAAAAUACCACUCUAACCAUACUCCCUAUCUACCUCCUAAAAUAAGGAGACCUCCAGGAGCUCCUCAAAAAUAAGGAGCAUGAUUGUAGAUGUUGUUA
rnacentral:lncRNA from 1 species